GGAUCAAAAUGUCGGUCGUGCCUUCGGUACGUACUGGUAUCAUUGGUCUCUCCUUUCUGACGAACCAUGAUGUCAUUAAUUUGGUGUCUUGGGGAAUCAGGACUGUUACUUUGAAAAAAUUAGAGUGUUUAAAGCAGGCUCACGCUCGAAUACAUUAGCAUGGAAUAACGAAAUGGGACGUUUGAUUCUAUUUUGUUGGUUUCUAGGAUCGACGUA
rnacentral:rRNA from 1 species